UUGAAUUGAAGAGUUUGAUCAUGGCUCAGAUUGAACGCUGGCGGCAGGCUUAACACAUGCAAGUCGGACGGUAGCAGGAGAAAGCUUGCUUUCUUGCUGACGAGUGGCGGACGGGKGAGUAAUGCUUGGGGAUCUGUCUUAUGGAGGGGGAUAACGACGGGAAACUGUCGCUAAUACCGCGUAGAGUCGGGAGACGAAAGUGCGGGACCUUAGGGCCGCAUGCCAUGAGAUGAGCCCAAGUGUGAUUAGGUAGUUGGUGGGGUAAAGGCCUACCAAGCCGACGAUCGCUAGCUGGUCUGAGAGGAUGGCCAGCCACACCGGGACUGAGACACGGCCCGGACUCCUACGGGAGGCAGCAGUGGGGAAUAUUGCGCAAUGGGG
rnacentral:rRNA from 1 species